rnacentral:rRNA from 1 species
GUUUGAUCCUGGCUCAGGACGAACGCUGGCGGCGUGCUUAACACAUGCAAGUCGAACGGAAAGGCCUCUUCAGAGGUACUCGAGUGGCGAACGGGUGAGUAACACGUGGGUGAUCUGCCCUGCACUCUGGGAUAAGCCUGGGAAACUGGGUCUAAUACCGGAUAGGACCAUGCUUUAGUGUGUGUGGUGGAAAGUUUUUUCGGUGUAGGAUGAGCCCGCGGCCUAUCAGCUUGUUGGUGGGGUAAUGGCCUACCAAGGCGGCGACGGGUAGCCGGACUGAGAGGUUGGUCGGCCACAUUGGGACUGAGAUACGGCCCAGACUCCUACGGGAGGCAGCAGUGGGGAAUAUUGCACAAUGGGCGCAAGCCUGAUGCAGCGACGCCGCGUGGGGGAUGACGGCCUUCGGGUUGUAAACUCCUUUCGCCAGGGACGAAGCGUUUUGUGACGGUACCUGGAGAAGAAGCACCGGCUAACUACGUGCCAGCAGCCGCGGUAAUACGUAGGGUGCAAGCGUUGUCCGGAAUUACUGGGCGUAAAGAGCUCGUAGGUGGUUUGUCACGUCGUCUGUGAAAUUCCACAGCUUAACUGUGGGCGUGCAGGCGAUACGGGCUGACUUGAGUACUGUAGGGGUAACUGGAAUUCCUGGUGUAGCGGUGAAAUGCGCAGAUAUCAGGAGGAACACCGAUGGCGAAGGCAGGUUACUGGGCAGUUACUGACGCUGAGGAGCGAAAGCAUGGGUAGCAAACAGGAUUAGAUACCCUGGUAGUCCAUGCCGUAAACGGUGGGCGCUAGGUGUAGGGACCUUUUGGGGGUUUU